CAGAAGUGGGGCACUGACUGCCCAAAUAGCUUGUUUUCUUCUUGAGGGCUUUGGAGUUAGGCCCACCAUCACAAAUUCUAACUUUUUCUUUGCUCUGUUCAGCUAUUAGCACAAUUACUAAUCCCUAGACCUGAACGAUUUAUGUGAUGGGAUGGGGAAAGGGGGCACAUUAUGCCAUGAAAGACAAAGAUUGAGAAGCUUUCACAGAUUGGAGGAGACUACGAAAAAAUAACAAAUAACUAAAAGCAAACAUCCUCAGAGGCUUCCGAUUACACUAUAUUCUGCAGCUAAGCCAGCAGCUUGGCUUCAAGUACAAACAAACCUGUCCCAUUUUUUAUGGGUCUUGAAGAAAGUGGUAAGGUGUGUUCUCACCUAUUGUUACUAGGUUUUUGGGAAAAGAUCUGUAUAUUGAAAGACUGGAACACCAAGUUGGGUAUGCAUAGAAUUCCACAUGGUAGGUCUUUGAAUUCACUACCCAGCAUUUGCAAUAUUGUAAAGGGCAAGCUUAUCUACUCCCUUUCUCCAUUUCAAUAAGAUAGUCAGCAAGAGAAAUGAGACAUGCCCUGAAAUUGAGAAAAUAAAGAAAGAAAAAGCUUUUUUCACUAAAAUCAAUGGAUCAC